UAGGUUAAUGAGGCGAACCGGGGGAACUGAAACAUCUAAGUACCCCGAGGAAAAGAAAUCAACCGAGAUUCCCCCAGUAGCGGCGAGCGAACGGGGAGGAGCCCAGAGCCUGAAUCAGUGUGUGUGUUAGUGGAAGCGUCUGGAAAGGCGCGCGAUACAGGGUGACAGCCCCGUACACAAAAAUGCACAUGCUGUGAGCUCGAUGAGUAGGGCGGGACACGUGGUAUCCUGUCUGAAUAUGGGGGGACCAUCCUCCAAGGCUAAAUACUCCUGACUGACCGAUAGUGAACCAGUACCGUGAGGGAAAGGCGAAAAGAACCCCGGCGAGGGGAGUGAAAAAGAACCUGAAACCGUGUACGUACAAGCAGUGGGAGCCUCUUUAUGGGGUGACUGCGUACCUUUUGUAUAAUGGGUCAGCGACUUAUAUUCUGUAGCAAGGUUAACCGAAUAGGGGAGCCGAAGGGAAACCGAGUCUUAACUGGGCGUUAAGUUGCAGGGUAUAGACCCGAAACCCGGUGAUCUAGCCAUGGGCAGGUUGAAGGUUGGGUAACACUAACUGGAGGACCGAACCGACUAAUGUUGAAAAAUUAGCGGAUGACUUGUGGCUGGGGGUGAAAGGCCAAUCAAACCGGGAGAUAGCUGGUUCUCCCCGAAAGCU
rnacentral:rRNA from 1 species